rnacentral:rRNA from 1 species
CCUAACACAUGCAAGUCGAGCGGUAGAGAGAAGCUUGCUUCUCUUGAGAGCGGCGGACGCGGUGAGUAAAGCCUAGGAAUCUGCCUGGUAGUGGGGGAUAACGUUCGGAAACGGACGCUAAUACCGCAUACGUCCUACGGGAGAAAGCAGG